AGCUUUAGCAGUGGCAGCAUCGUAGCCAAUGAGGUUUAUCCGGGGCGAGAUUAUUGCUAAUUGAAAAAAAAA
rnacentral:snRNA from 1 species